CAGCUCGUGUCGUGAGAUGUUGGGUUAAGUCCCGCAACGAGCGCAACCCUUGAUCUUAGUUGCCAGCAUUCAGUUGGGCACUCUAAGGUGACUGCCGGUGACAAACCGGAGGAAGGUGGGGAUGACGUCAAAUCAUCAUGCCCCUUAUGACCUGGGCUACACACGUGCUACAAUGGAUGGUACAAAGGGCAGCGAAGCCGCGAGGUGGAGCCAAUCCCACAAAACCAUUCUCAGUUCGGA
rnacentral:rRNA from 1 species